rnacentral:rRNA from 1 species
UUGGAGGGCAAGUCUGGUGCCAGCAGCCGCGGUAAUUCCAGCUCCAAUAGCGUAUAUUAAAGUUGUUGCAGUUAAAAAGCUCGUAGUUGAAUUUCGGGGUUAGUAGGUUGGUCAUGCCUCUGGUAUGUACUGGUCUCACUGAUUCCUCCUUCCUGAUGAACCGUAAUGCCAUUAAUUUGGUGUUGCGGGGAAUUUGGACUGUUACUUUGAAAAAAUUAGAGUGUUUAAAGCAGGC